rnacentral:rRNA from 1 species
CCUACGGGAGGCAGCAGUAGGGAAUCUUCCACAAUGGGCGCAAGCCUGAUGGAGCAACGCCGCGUGAGUGAAGACGGCCUUCGGGUUGUAAAGCUCUGUCUGUCGGGACGAAGACCGGCCCGGAAGGGCCGGGGAGCCGGUACCGACGGAGGAAGCCCCUGCAAACUACGUGCCAGCAGCCGCGGUAAGACGUAGGGGGCAAGCGUUGUCCGGAAUUACUGGGCGUAAAGGGCGUGUAGGCGGUGCGAUACGUAGCGGUUUUAAGCCUCCGGCUCACCCGGAGGAGGGCGGCUAAACGGUCGCGCUAGAGGGCAGGAGAGGUGCGUGGAAUUCCUGGUGGAGCGGUGAAAUGCGUAGAGAUCAGGAAGAACACCAGUGGCGAAGGCGGCGCAAUGGCCUGACCCUGACGCUGAGGCGCGACAGCGUGGGGAGCAAACGGGAUUAGAUACCCCGGUAGUCCACGCCGUAAACGACGGAUACUAGGUGUCGUGGGGGUCCACCCUGCGGUGCCGGAGCUAACGCACUAAGUAUCCCGCCUGGGGAGUACGGCCGCAAGGUUGAAACUCAAAGGAAUUGACGGGG